CCUACGGGAGGCAGCAGUGAGGAAUAUUGGUCAAUGGACGCGAGUCUGAACCAGCCAAGUCGCGUGAGGGAUGACUGCCCUAUGGAUUGUAAACUUCUUUUAUCUGGGAAUAAAGUGUUCCACGUGUGGGAUUUUGUAUGUACCAUAUGAAUAAGGAUCGGCUAACUCCGUGCCAGCAGCCGCGGUAAUACGGAGGAUCCGAGCGUUAUCCGGAUUUAUUGGGUUUAAAGGGUGCGUAGGUGGAAUUUUAAGUCAGUUGUGAAAGUUUGUGGCUCAACCGGAAAAUUGCAGUUGAAACUGGGAGGCUUGAGUACAUUAGAGGCAGGCGGAAUUCGUGGUGUAGCGGUGAAAUGCUUAGAUAUCACGAAGAACCCCGAUUGCGAAGGCAGCUCACUGGGCUGCAACUGACACUGAGGCUCGAAAGUGUGGGGAUCAAACAGGAUUAGAUACCCCAGUAGUC
rnacentral:rRNA from 1 species